rnacentral:rRNA from 1 species
CAGUCGCCGCGGGAAUACGUAGGUGGCAAGCGUUGUCCGGAAUUAUUGGGCGUAAAGGGCUCGCAGGCGGUUUCUUAAGUCUGAUGUGAAAGCCCCCGGCUCAACCGGGGAGGGUCAUUGGAAACUGGGAAACUUGAGUGCAGAAGAGGAGAGUGGAAUUCCACGUGUAGCGGUGAAAUGCGUAGAGAUGUGGAGGAACACCAGUGGCGAAGGCGACUCUCUGGUCUGUAACUGACGCUGAGGAGCGAAAGCGUGGGGAGCGAACAGGAUUAGAUACCCGCGUAGUCCCUGUCUCUUAUAA